GUAUGGAGCAGACCCUGUCCCUGCAGAAGGUCAGUCACUUGACUGGUCUGAUCGCCUGUUUCUUGAUGUGUACCCAGAAGAACGAAGGAAGCCCAAAUUCUGGCCACAAAAUCCAAGAUCUUUCAGGUGUUUCACCCUGUCCCUUUGUAUAUUGACUGUUGGAAAAUAUACUUAAAAAGCCUUAGAAACGGUUGAAGUAUGACCUGAAUACUUGUCACACAUGAAUUUGAUCACUCUUUAGAGGGAUUAUUUCUGACAUCUGAUAUGUUGCAUAUCACUUAAAAUUCUCAACACCUUCUAUAUAACUCAGCAUCAUCGAAUUCAAAGAGGUGUAACUGGUUUCAGUUUGAGCUUCAUUCUCCUUCUUUUUAAAUUUCUGAAUGUCUAUGAUAAGAUUUCAUAUAUUCAAAUAUCACUUUGCUCAUUUUUAAUAUGCAUGUGGUUUAUUCACAAUUACGCAGAGA
rnacentral:lncRNA from 1 species